GCGGAACCUGAGAAAAAAUUUCGCAGGGGCCAAAUUUUUUUUUUUUUUGGGUUUAGAACCUAGUCAAGUUAGAAGGCUCAUUCCAACGCCAUUUUCAUUCUGAUGAACUGAUGAACUGAGUGACUGCCAGAAACUGAUUCAGCUUCAAUCCAUGCUAUAGUGGCAACCUGCAAUGCUUGAUACGAAGAUACAUAUAUAGUGCAGGCAUUGAUGGCAGGAUGAGGAAAAGCAGGAGUUCUUUAUUUCUUUCACGCAAACAGUGGGAAACUGGGAGGUGUUCAAAUUUCAAAAAUGGUGGGAGCUUUAUAUGGUUGGAGACUUGGAGUUAUAUAUGGUUAUCCAUGAAUCAUUAUUGUCAAAUUGUUAAAACUCCUAUUGAUAAUGAAAAGUUGAAUCCUCAA